AUUUUCAACUAUCAUUAUCAUUAUCCUGGUCCAGCGUAGAAAAUUUUAUGUCAUUGCUGUUAUAAAGACUUUCCCCUGAAAUAAAAUAAAACAUGUUAAUUGCGGUAUUAGGAAUUCCGUUUUCAUGUUCUGCAUUGUUUCAUUAUGUCUUACUGUUCAUUUUAUGGUGGAAUGCUACAUCGUCACAAUAUGUCUGACUUCCGUUUGAAAAGCCAUUUUGUUCCGGAAUGGUAAGAUUCUGCCGUGGAACAAAAUAGCUACACACUGUUUAAUUGAACUCUUCUUACGAAGGAGAUAACAAAAGUAUGAAAUCACCAAAACGCUUAGAUAAUAAGUCGAUUUUUAUAUUCGUAAACAAAGCGUUCGGCCAACCUUGAUCAUCAGCUGUUAAAAUUGCUGCGAGAGUGAAUAUCGUUUUGGUUUGCUGUUUUGUACACCUGUCUUGUGAUCUACCAUGUAUACAGCGCACGACCAUACAUACGUGAGCGAUGAUAAGUAUUCAAACAGUGAUGUUCACUGGAGGAAGAGAAGGUUAAGGCAGACGAAUAUGUUGCCUCAGAAGCUGAUGAUGAUGAAGCAAAAGAUAUAGGUGGAAACUUCUAUGAGUUGCAAGGGCGACACAUUGUGGACAUAAAUUACCUAAUUGAGGGCCUUAUUAGAGGAUGUCAUUCCUGCAAAGAACCUGCGGUUGUCGUCUUGCAUUGGAGAUACCAGAUAUGGCCCAGAUAGUUUACUUCACAUUAAUUGUAUAAAGUGUCAUAAAGUAACGCUCGUCCCAACUGGAACAAGACAUGGUCACAAUGUAUGGGAUAUAAACUUCAAAUUGGGUCUAUGUAUUUCUGUGGCAUUGGGGAAACAGCUGUAAACACUUUCCUUGGAGCAUUGAAUUUACCAUGUUUCCCCCACAACACUGAAAAAGAGAGAAAGAGAGGCAGGAGUAGCUUUCGGGGCAGUGGCGGAUGAAACCUGCUGUGAAGCGCUAUUAAAG